rnacentral:rRNA from 1 species
GAUGAACGCUGGCGGCGUGCCUAAUACAUGCAAGUCGAGCGAACGGACGAGAAGCUUGCUUCUCUGAUGUUAGCGGCGGACGGGUGAGUAACACGUGGAUAACCUACCUAUAAGACUGGGAUAACUUCGGGAAACCGUAGCUAAUACCGGAUAAUAUUUUGAACCGCAUGGUUCAAAAGUGAAAGACGGUCUUGCUGUCACUUAUAGAUGGAUCCGCGCUGCAUUAGCUAGUUGGUAAGGUAACGGCUUACCAAGGCAACGAUGCAUAGCCGACCUGAGAGGGUGAUCGGCCACACUGGAACUGAGACACGGUCCAGGCUCCUACGGGAGGCAGCAGUAGGGAAGCGUCCGCAAUGGGCUAGAACCUGACGGAGCAACGCCGCGUGAGUGGUGAAGGUGUUCGGACCGUAAAACUCUGUUAUUAGGGAAAAACAUAUGUGUAAGUAACUGUGCACAUCUUGACGGUACCUAGUAAGAAAGCCACGGCUAACUACGUG